UACGAAGGGGGCUAGCGUUGUUCGGAAUUACUGGGCGUAAAGCGUGCGCAGGCGGCUUCUCAAGUCAGGGGUGAAAGCCCAGAGCUCAACUCUGGAAUUGCCUUUGAGACUGAGUGGCUUGAGUACGAGAGAGGUGAGUGGAAUUCCCAGUGUAGAGGUGAAAUUCGUAGAUAUUGGGAAGAACACCGGUGGCGAAGGCGGCUCACUGGCUCGUAACUGACGCUCAUGCACGACAGGCGUGGGGAUCAAACAGGAUUAGACUACCCCGUGUAGU
rnacentral:rRNA from 1 species